UAAGCUAAUAGGCCAAGUAGUGGCAGAAUUAAUAUAGUUUUCUGUAUGGUCAUUUCAGGUCUGUGCGGCCGGGAACAAAUGAGCUGCCUCCGUCAACAUUGCUGUUACUAAGGCUGAACUGUUAGAAACGCAAUGGCUGAUAUUCAAACUUCUGAUGAAGAAAAAUGGAUCAUUUUUUGUGGGAACACUAAUCAUGACAAACCCAAAGCCAUCCAGCAGAAGGGGGAGAGUUUGUCAUUUAGACCAGGCUGGCCUUGACCUCAGGAUCCUCCCACUUCUUGAGUAACAGGGCUAUGAGCCUGUGCUAUUCGCCCAGCUUGGUUGAUUCUAAUUCUCUGCAUAAGGAAACGGAUGCCAAGUUCCCUUCUGGGAUGAUGUAAGCAGCCUCUCUUGUCACAUCCUCCUGUCACCAGUGGUCUGCCUCACCACAAGCCCAUUAGCCGUCGAGCCAGCAGCUAUGGAUUGGAACCUUUGAAACCAUGAACCAAAAUAACUCUCUCUUCCUCUGAGUCGGUUUGCUCAGGCAUUAUGUCAUAGCAAGGAAAAGCGACCAACGCAAAUAGACAGAAAUACUCAUUUGAGAUUCAAGUUGAAGUUUGUCCCUGAAAUUCCAUUUGCUUAUUAAUAUUAUGCUAUUUUUGCAUGUGGGUUUUGACUGGUCACAGAGCAAAUACUGGUUUAUUGGGAGGGUGAUGAGGUGUCUAAACAAGAAGAUGCUGUGUCUGAGCUUGUAUUCUGUGAGGUGAGGGCUCACGGAAGGUCAGCUGCCCCAGGUGCCUAUCAAAUACAGCGUUUCUGCUAAAAGCUUACAGAGAAUCCCAAUUUCUAGCACUCGCUUUCCAUUUUAAUGUCUAACAUUUACAUGGCAGGAAGGUUGCACCCCACCCCCACCACACACCCAUGCACACACCACAUACACUCACUCAUUGGCUCUGCUCUCUUAGUUUUCGCUGCCUGGUGGCCACACUGCCCACGUCCCCGGAAGGCUGGUCUGAAAACUGAGAUGGGGGUGGCUGCCGGCCCUGCCUCAGCAGCUCUAACACUGGGUUAGAGCAAGCGGAGGUGUUCCAGCUGAGAAGAAAGUACAGCUAUAUUUAUUUGAGAUUGCGGUCGGGAGCAUAGAGAAAGGGUCCCUCUAAGAGCUUUUUCUCUGAAACCCUCACCACCCACCACCUGGGAUCUGUCAAUCACUCACUCAUUCGCGUAUUCAUUCAACAAUAUUUAGCGUGUUCCUGUUCUUAGUCAGGCACAGGCGGUUAGAAGUCCAGUGCUUAACAAAAUGGCACUGCUCCUGCACUCAGGAAAUGAAUAUGAUAGUGGGGAGAAUUACUUAGAAAAGAAGCCACUUGACAUGUAAUAUAUAGCUCAAUGUUGGGGAUUAAUGUCUUAAGAGAGUGACAGAAAGACUAUUUUAAGUGAUGUGUCAAGAGGUCUCUCUGAGGAAGAGACAGUCAUACUUUACCUACAGAUACUUUGUCUACAGACAGUUUGAUGAGGUCAAAGGUUAUCUGAGGAAACUUCUGGGGAAGUGAGUCUUGGAGAGAAAAGAGGAGGUGGCAGGUUGUGAACGAGGAGCAUGGAACUGAGUGAGCAGUAGGAAUGAAUCCCUUGCAGGACAGAGAGCAAUCACAGAAGGAUAAUGAAGGUACAGGAGCGGGCAUCCAUCACAUUUUGUCUUAAAUGUGAUGGGAAACCACUGAAUACUUGGGAAAGGAGAAGACCGAUGGAGAUGAUCUUCCUGGCCAUAUUAACUGUAAGGAGCCAGGGAAGUUGGUUAGAAACCUUGUAAUAGUCUAAGAGGGAGCCUGACUUGGACCAGCCGGUAGAAUGUGGGGAUUUGCAAAGAAAGGGCCAUUUUCUGGAAGACUUGCUGGGAGAAAGAAAGAAGUUAAGGAGGGUUGAAUCUGGGUUCUUAUACCUUCCAGGCAAAUAUGUUUAGCUCUGAGUUCUACCAUUGUGGGUUUGUUUAGUUCUAGGAUAUAAAAACUGACAGAUGGGUCAAUGAACUCUCCAAUGAUCAAAACUUGAUCCCUAGAAAUAGUGAACAUUACCAUGUUUAGAAAAAGAGGGAAUUCUACUUUCUAUGGUAAUGUAUGUUCCUAAGCACCUCCUCCAGAUUACCUGGGAUUAUCUAGGUGGUCCCAGUGCCAUCAAAUGUCCCUGUGAUGGAGGGAAAGGGACAGGACUCACCAAACAGCAAAGACAUGUGAAAGUGGAGGCUAAAGACAGUGAUGCCACAAAUCCAGCGUGUCAGGAAGGCAGCCCCUUGCUGCAGGAGACUAGAAAUGGAUCCUCUCCAGUUCCCCAGAGGAAGUGUGGCUUGCUAAUUACUAGAUUUACACUCAGUGAAACCAGUUUGGGCAACUGCAUCUCCAGAACUAUGAGAAAGGAAAUUCCAGAUGUUUAAAGCCACCAGAUUCCUAAAAGUUGUUCCAACUGAUAUAAUAACUCACAGAAAUGCAAGAGAAGACUGGAUCAGGGUGGCUGUCGAGAUAAAAACCAUCAGCACAUUAGACAACGGACAGAUGGGAUGAAAGAUUGACAAGUGACCUAGGACUGCACAGGUCGCAGGAGAGCCGAGGAAGUGUAUCUGCUGGGGAAGAAGGGGAGGCAGAGAGGGGGAGGCAGAUGUCUCUGGACGGUGGCGCCUGGACCAGAUAAGCAUCUUACCCCAGUGCUGAGACAGGCCUACCAAUUCGAUCCAAAUUGGAUUUUUCAUGCUUUAAUUGGACUUUGCUGAAACCAUGCUUUUCUUUUUCCACGUCUAAUUUCGAGCCUUGAAACGAUCCCUUGGUUUAAAUUAGGUGGUUUUCCAAUGCUGCUUUCUUUCUGUUCAAACAAAGUUGACUUUGAUUGACUCUCAAUUCCCAAUUAGCUACCCAAUUUGUUCUUGUUUGUGCUGAUUCAACGUGGCAAGUACAUUAGCCCCCAUCCCCCAUCCCCACUGUCUCUCCCCCCCCCAGCUCACCUUGUCCAUCCCUGGGGAGCCUGUAGCUCCCCCCCCAUCCUGCAUGUGGUGUCUGCAGCACCCCAUCCCCACCUGCUUACCUCAUCCUGCCCUGUGGGGCCUGCAUCCUGGGUCUGAGGGUGUAAGGGUGACGGCUACUGAUUUUCUCUUAGUCUCUGUAUAGCCACUUAUCCUGUUUGAACAGCAGUGUUCUCUGAUCUUAAAAUAACUGUCCUUCCAGGCUUUCUGUAAUCUCUGUUUUUUUAAGAAAGAAGGAUCCCAGCCUGGAGUGAGAGCACAUACCUGUAAUUACCACA